CUACGGGCCGCUCCAGUAAGGAAUAUUGCGCAAUGGAGGCAACUCUGACGCAGCCAUGCCGCGUGAAGGAAGAAGGCCUUAUGGGUCGUAAACUGCUUUUAUUUAGGAAUAAACCCCCGAACGUGUUCGGGGCUGAAGGUACUAAACGAAUAAGCACCGGCUAGACUGCGUGCCAGCAGCCGCGGUAAUACGGAGGGUGCAAGCGUUAUCCGGAUUUAUUGGGUUUAAAGGGUGCGCAGGCGGGCUAUUAAGUCAGUGGUGAAAUCCCGGGGCUCAACUCCGGAACUGCCAUUGAUACUGAUAGUCUUGAGUUUGGUUGAAGUGGGCGGAAUGUAGCAUGUAGCGGUGAAAUGCAUAGAUAUGCUACAGAACACCAAUCGCGAAGGCAGCUCACUAAGCCAAAACUGACGCUCAUGCACGAAAGCGUGGGGAUCAAACAGGAUUAGAUACCCCCGUAGUC
rnacentral:rRNA from 1 species